UGCAAGUCGAACGGUGACGACCAGCUUGCUGGUCUGAUCAGUGGCGAACGGGUGAGUAACACGUGAGCAACCUGCCCUUGACUCUGGGAUAACCACGGGAAACGGUGGCUAAUACCGGAUACGAGACACACAUGCAUGUGUGGUGUCUGGAAAGAUUUAUCGGUCAAGGAUGGGCUCGCGGCCUAUCAGCUUGUUGGUGGGGUAAUGGCCUACCAAGGCGACGACGGGUAGCCGGCCUGAGAGGGCGACCGGCCACACUGGGACUGAGACACGGCCCAGACUCCUACGGGAGGCAGCAGUGGGGAAUAUUGCACAAUGGGCGCAAGCCUGAUGCAGCGACGCCGCGUGAGGGAUGACGGCCUUCGGGUUGUAAACCUCUUUCAGCAGGGAAGAAGCGCAAGUGACGGUNNNUGCAGAAGAAGCGCCGGCUAACUACGUGCCAGCAGCCGCGGUAAUACGUAGGGCGCAAGCGUUGUCCGGAAUUAUUGGGCGUAAAGAGCUCGUAGGCGGUUUGUCGCGUCUGCUGUGAAAACCUGAGGCUCAACCUCGGGCUUGCAGUGGGUACGGGCAGACUAGAGUGCGGUAGGGGUGACUGGAAUUCCUGGUGUAGCGGUGGAAUGCGCAGAUAUCAGGAGGAACACCGAUGGCGAAGGCAGGUCACUGGGCCGCAACUGACGCUGAGGAGCGAAAGCAUGGGGAGCGAACAGGAUUAGAUACCCUGGUAGUCCAUGCCGUAAACGUUGGGCACUAGGUGUGGGGCUCAUUCCACGAGUUCCGUGCCGCAGCAAACGCAUUAAGUGCCCCGCCUGGGGAGUACGGCCGCAAGGCUAAAACUCAAAGAAAUUGACGGGGGCCCGCACAAGCGGCGGA
rnacentral:rRNA from 1 species